rnacentral:misc_RNA from 1 species
GAACGCACAUUGCGCCCUUUGGUAUUCCGAAGGGCAUGCCUGUUCUAGCGUCAUUAUCACCCCUCAAGCCCUCGGCUUGGUGUUGGACGGUUUGGUGUAGGCCCCCUCGGGGGCUCCUGCCCCUCCCAAAGACAAUGACGGCGGCCUCGUUGGACCCCCGGUACACUGAGUUCUUCACGGGACACGUAUCGGACACAUGGGUUUACGGGACACGGUCUGCCUCCCCUCAGGGAGAAUCUUUCUAAGGUUGACCUCGGAUCAGGUAGGGAUACCCGCUGAACUUA